GAUGAACGCUGGCGGCGUGCCUAAUACAUGCAAGUCGAGCGAACGGACGAGAAGCUUGCUUCUCUGAUGUUAGCGGCGGACGGGUGAGUAACACGUGGAUAACCUACCUAUAAGACUGGGAUAACUUCGGGAAACCGGAGCUAAUACCGGAUAAUAUUUUGAACCGCAUGGUUCAAAAGUGAAAGACGGUCUUGCUGUCACUUAUAGAUGGAUCCGCGCUGCAUUAGCUAGUUGGUAAGGUAACGGCUUACCAAGGCAACGAUGCAUAGCCGACCUGAGAGGGGGAGCGACACCACUGGAACGGAAGCCGGGCCGGGCCCCAUGGGGAGGGGAGAAGGGGGAAAUUUCCCGGAAUGGGAGAAACCCUGACGGCGCAACGCCGCGGGAGUGAUAAAGGUUUGCGGAUGGGAAAACGUUUUUAUAGGGGAAAAAAAUAUGUGAAAGUACAUGUGCACAUCGGGACGGAACCUAACAAAAAAGCCACGGCUAACUACGUC
rnacentral:rRNA from 1 species